UUUUUUUUUAAUCCUUCAGGUUCUUACCCUGAUAUCUGACUCUCGAGUUUUUAUUGAUAAAGAAUAAUUAGAUAAAUGCUUCAUUGGUGUCCAACUCAGUGCAUGAAUCAUGAGGAGAUUAAAAGCAGCCAACUGAUGAAUCUGAAGCCCACUGGACAAAUGAGAUAUUGGAAGAAAAAGGACAAAUCCUCCAGAGAAAAUAUCCCAAGAAAAGGAGUAAACUGGCCUAGUGGCAUAACAUACUUCCAACAGGAUAAAAUGUCCUAAAUCUUCCCAGAUAUUUGUUUCUGCUGUUCUCUACAGAUAUGUAAGGCAAAUGGUCUUUCUGUAGUCCCACUUCAAUUACAAACUGAAGCUGGCUUUGGAGUUGGAGUGUGGCUCUCUCCUUCUUUUACUUAAAGGAAAAUCCAAAAUCUCUGUCUUAUGUCAGAAGAGUCACUUGAUAUGGGUCACAAGAAAAACCAAAAUUAAGGAAGUAUUCUAUUGCUGCUAAUCUCAUAAUCUUUUACUUUUAUUUUGACUCUUUAAAAUUUUUCUUAAGGUAUAAAUAUUAUCUCAAAAUUUAUAAGAUUAUUAUAUAUAUUUAAACUUUCUGAUGUGAUAUUAAUGGUCAUAUAGAGUACUAAGUAAUUCUAUAAAUAGGCUUUAUCUAGCUUCCUGUACAUAAUUUUGGGCUUGAGUUUGAAACAGGUAACUAGGAAUUAAGUUUGUGUCCCUGGAUAUACUUGACAAAUUGUGGCCCUUUAAUCUCUCUGAGAUCUGCUGUAUAUGACAUUUAAAAUGUUUAAGUUUUCUGCAGUGAAUCAUGACCAUUCUUAACAGCAAAUUUUGAAGUCUCCAAAAGGAUAGAGUCCCACAAUGUUGAUUUCAUCUGGAUUGUAGCAACGGCACUAAGAUGGCAAACACCACCCAAAGAUCAGCUUCAAACUACAAACUGCUCAGGACAACUUCAAAACAGUUAGCUAAGAUGGUCCAACCUCAUAGAGUACUCUGACCAAGACUUCAGAUAAGCCCUGCAAUUUCCCAUCACAUGGAGACUGAACAACAAGCCAGCUCUCCCAGGACUUGAUCAUUAUCUCAUUUUUUUCAGUGUCCCCUAAAGAUACUAUCACCCCCAGACAACAGGAAGUAAUUUUAAAAACAUGACAUCCACAUUCCCAAGAGGUAAGCUCAGGAAGCAAAGGACAAGGCUGAACUGAUGACGACAUCCUGCCCCUGCCCCCACCCGAGCCUUCCAGCAUCCUCUGGUAGGAGUGUGCACCCACUUCCUUGGAACAGAGGCCUUCUUAGAGAUCACCACCCAAGGUCAAGUCCAUCCCCACCAUCCUGCCCAGAAUCUCGGCCGAUCUGGCUCAGCAGGUCCAUUCUCUUGUUGUGGAUGGGCGGUUCUCAGUCUGGCUCAGCGAAAGGGACCUUUCUUAUCGUCUUGCAGUUCCAGGGAAUGUGAUUUCAAAAGGACAAGGGCACCGUCAGGGGCAGGUUGGGCUGCCUCAGACACCAAGUGCUUGUGAGCACUGUUGCUCACACAGUCACCGGCUACAGCUUCUGGGGUGGGGGUGGCAGGGUAAGCCAGCAUGGGACAUUUGUCCCGUGUUGGCCUAGAGAGUCACUACUACCGUGACUCUGAGGUACAAGAAUCUGCAGAUAACAUUUGUGUGGACACACCUGUGCAAAUACACCUGUGCGUUCGUUCUGCAGAUGGAGGUGCAGGGAGCCACACACCUGGCCUCAGCCCCUCACCCCAUAGCCAAGUGGUGUGUGUUGUGAUUUGAAGAUUUUAUUUUAUGCAUAUGAGUGUUUUGCCUGCAUGUAUGAAUAUGCUCUGAUGGUGUUCAUGCCUGGUGUCUGCAGAGCUCACAAG